rnacentral:rRNA from 1 species
UGUGAACAUACCUACUGUUGCUUCGGCGGGAUUGCCCCGGGCGCCUCGUGUGCCCCGGAUCAGGCGCCCGCCUAGGAAACUUAACUCUUGUUUUAUUUUGGAAUCUUCUGAGUAGUUUUUACAAAUAAAUAAAAACUUUCAACAACGGAUCUCUUGGUUCUGGCAUCGAUGAAGAACGCAGCGAAAUGCGAUAAGUAAUGUGAAUUGCAGAAUUCAGUGAAUCAUCGAAUCUUUGAACGCACAUUGCGCCCGCCAGUAUUCUGGCGGGCAUGCCUGUCUGAGCGUCAUUUCAACCCUCAUGCCCCUAGGGCGUGGUGUUGGGGAUCGGCCAAAGCCCGCGAGGGACGGCCGGCCCCUAAAUCUAGUGGCGGACCCGUCGUGGCCUCCUCUGCGAAGUAGUGAUAUUCCGCAUCGGAGAGCGACGAGCCCCUGCCGUUAAACCCCCAACUUUCCAAGGUUGACCUCAGAUCAGGUAGGAAUACCCGCUGAACUUAAGCAUAUCAUA